GGAAUAUUGGACAAUGGGCGCAAGCCUGAUCCAGCCAUGCCGCGUGAGUGAUGAAGGCCUUAGGGUUGUAAAGCUCUUUUGUCCGGGACGAUAAUGACGGUACUGGAAGAAUAAGCCCCGGCUAACUUCGUGCCAGCAGCCGCGGUAAUACGAAGGGGGCUAGCGUUGCUCGGAAUCACUGGGCGUAAAGGGCGCGUAGGCGGCCAUUCAAGUCGGGGGUGAAAGCCUGUGGCUCAACCACAGAAUUGCCUUCGAUACUGUUUGGCUUGAGUUUGGUAGAGGUUGGUGGAACUGCGAGUGUAGAGGUGAAAUUCGUAGAUAUUCGCAAGAACACCAGUGGCGAAGGCGGCCAACUGGACCAACACUGACGCUGAGGCGCGAAAGCAUGGGGAGCAAACAGGAUUAGAUACCCGGG
rnacentral:rRNA from 1 species